AAGCGUCCUUUGUGUCCUCUUUUGGACACUCGUGGAGGUCCAAGGAGGCUUCUGCUUCAGCAUUUUUAAAGAAAAGGCCAAAGAAAAGCCAAAAAGAAGGGAGGACUUGGAAAAUUCAGCAGAUGUAAAAAUCAUCUCCUCCUUUUGUUCCUGGAGGACCAUAACUAAGGGCUGGUUUGUAUAAUAAGCGACAGAGGAAGCUCCUAAGGCAAUGCUGCCAACUUCAUUCCUGCUCGUCACUGAAAAGGCCACCUCCUGUUGGUUUAGGACCUUG